GAAGAAAGCUGGCGGCGUGCUUAACACAUGCGAGUCGUACGGUAAGGCCCUUUCGGGGGUACACGAGUGGCGAACGGGUGAGUAACACGUGAGUAACCUGCCCACAACUUUGGGAUAACGCUAGGAAACUGGUGCUAAUACUGGAUAUGUGCUCCUGCUGCAUGGUGGGGGUUGGAAAGCUCCGGCGGUUGUGGAUGGACUCGCGGCCUAUCAGCUUGUUGGUGGGGUAGUGGCCUACCAAGGCGGCGACGGGUAGCCGGCCUGAGAGGGUGACCGGCCACAUUGGGACUGAGAUACGGCCCAGACUCCUACGGGAGGCAGCAGUGGGGAAUAUUGCACAAUGGGCGCAAGCCUGAUGCAGCAACGCCGCGUGCGGGAUGACGGCCUUCGGGUUGUAAACCGCUUUCAGCAGGGACGAAGCUUUUUGUGACGGUACCUGCAGAAGAAGCACCGGCUAACUACGUG
rnacentral:rRNA from 1 species